UGCAGCUGUGUCAAAUUCGGUCUCUUUUUCCAUGGUGGGAUUGCCCCAAACAGUUGCCACUGUGGCUCAUGGGCCUCAGAGCCCUUGGUGGACUCUGAGGAUAGUUUUGUUACAGGCACUU